rnacentral:rRNA from 1 species
UACGUAGGUGGCGAGCGUUGUCCGGAUUUACUGGGCGUAAAGGGAGCGUAGGCGGACUUUUAAGUGAGAUGUGAAAUACUCGGGCUCAACUUGAGUGCUGCAUUUCAAACUGGAAGUCUAGAGUGCAGGAGAGGAGAAUGGAAUUCCUAGUGUAGCGGUGAAAUGCGUAGAGAUUAGGAAGAACACCAGUGGCGAAGGCGAUUCCCUGGACUGUAACUGACGCUGAGGCUCGAAGGCGUGGGGAGCAAACAGG